UAUACGUGAUGUUGAGAUUCUGUGCUCACU
rnacentral:piRNA from 1 species